rnacentral:rRNA from 1 species
GAUGAACGCUGGCGGCGUGCCUAAUACAUGCAAGUCGAGCGAACAGACGAGGAGCUUGCUCCUCUGACGUUAGCGGCGGACGGGUGAGUAACACGUGGAUAACCUACCUAUAAGACUGGGAUAACUUCGGGAAACCGGAGCUAAUACCGGAUAAUAUAUUGAACCGCAUGGUUCAAUAGUGAAAGACGGUUUUGCUGUCAAUUAUAGAUGGAUCCGCGCCGCAUUAGCUAGUUGGUAAGGUAACGGCUUACCAAGGCGACGAUGCGUAGCCGACCUGAGAGGGUGAUCGGCCACACGGGAACUGAGACACGGUCCAGACUCCUACGGGAGGCAGCAGUAGGGAAUCUUCCGCAAUGGGCGAAAGCCUGACGGAGCAACGCCGCGUGAGUGAUGAAGGUCUUCGGAUCGUAAAACUCUGUUAUUAGGGAAGAACAAAUGUGUAAGUAACUAUGCACGUCUUGACGGUACCUAAUCAGAAAGCCACGGCUAACUACGUG